rnacentral:rRNA from 1 species
UACAGAGGGGGCAAGCGUUAUUCGGAAUUAUUGGGCGUAAAGGGCGCGUAGGCGGCCUGGCAAGUGGAAGGUGAAAUCCCUCGGCUUAACCGAGGAACUGCCCUCCAAACUGCUUGGCUUGAGUCCGGGAGAGGUGAGUGGAAUUCCCAGUGUAGCGGUGAAAUGCGUAGAUAUUGGGAGGAACACCAGUGGCGAAGGCGGGUCUCUGGGCCGAAAUUGACGCUGAGGAGCGAAAGCGUGGGGAGCGAACAGG